GCCGAGAUCGUAUAGUGGUUAGUACUCUGCAUUGUGGCUGCAGCAACCUCGGUUCGAAUCCGAGUCUCGGCA
rfam:Mus musculus chromosome 3, GRC primary reference assembly.